GAUUUCUUUGUGGUCACAUGGUGGAGCCAGAGGAUCAGCUUUAGACGAGCAGCGGGAUCUGGUCUGCAUGCGUGUCGCCCUCUGACAGAGCUGACCUUUUCAGAUUGACAGAUGCUAAUGGUGGUGAUGCAAGUCUUACUGCAUGGAAGGAACACAUGCUGAUGAAGUUAUAAUAAGGCUCUGACUCUUUGGGACUGCUGUGGAAUAGAUCAUUCGCAGGGAACAAACAACGCCGCUCGGGAACGCCGGACCCUCGGUUGCCAGGCAACCACACACUGACUUGAUGGAGUGGAAGCAACUUCAGAGGCCUCUGUGAGCACAGCAUCAAGGUUACUAUUAAACUCGAGUCUCAACCCUUCACACGGACACAUACACAUGCAAAUAAGGCGAACGAAUCUGAGUGCGUGUGCUAAAAACGAAAAUAACAUUCAGAAGCUUCUUUUAGUGAAACGACCGCAAACUCAGGGCUGUGACUUUACCGCAGCUUUGUGUCCAGGUCAGAUGUGUGCUUUCUCCACCUAUACUCAUGUUUAUUUUUUAUAAGUUGUAAAGGAAAUACUGUUUCCUUCCUGUAAGCAAUGGGUGCGACUAUGAUAAUAACAGGGGCACUUAUUAAAGGGAGAAGAAACACUCAAAAUGUCCACUUACACGAGAAGCUGACAAGUAAAGGACAACUGUGGGUGGCUUUAAGUCUUAGAUUGAAUGAGUGUUUUCUGACCACAUGUGCGUGUGUGCACACUUACAUUUUAGUGUAACCACCUUUAUAUUACGAUAAGUCUAUUGCUGAACUUGUUCUUAAAGCCAUAUGAAAGCGUCAGUGUGGGCUUGAGCAGCCUCAAAUGUUCUUCUGGCUGAGAAGCACUUUGGGCUACAUUAACUCAAAAAAGCAGCAACUGAAAGCAUUGUAUGUUUGAUGAAAGAUUAAAAUCUUGCAACCUGCUA